CCCAAACUAGCUCAGUUGGUAGAACAUGAAACUCUUAAUCUCAUGGGUCAUGGAUUUGAGCCGUGGUCGUGGGUUUGGGG